GGCCAGACUCCUACGGGAGGCAGCAGUGGGGGAUAUUGCACAAUGGGGGCAACCCUGAUGCAGCGACGCCGCGUGAGCGAUGGAGUACUUCGGUAUGUAAAGCUCUGUCAGCAGGGAAGAAAAUGACGGUACCUGAAGAAGAAGCCCCGGCUAACUACGUGCCAGCAGCCGCGGUAAUACGUAGGGGGCAAGCGUUAUCCGGAUUUACUGGGUGUAAAGGGAGCGUAGACGGCGAUGCAAGCCAGAUGUGAAAGCCCGGGGCUCAACCCCGGGACUGCAUUUGGAACUGUGUGGCUGGAGUGUCGGAGAGGCAGGCGGAAUUCCUAGUGUAGCGGUGAAAUGCGUAGAUAUCAGGAGGAACACCGGCGGCGAAGGCGGCCUGCUGGACCGUGACUGACGUUGAGGCUCGAGAGCGUGGGGAGCAAACAGGAUUAGAUACCCGUGUAA
rnacentral:rRNA from 1 species